GAUGAACGCUGGCGGCGUGCCUAAUACAUGCAAGUCGAACGCACAGCGAAAGGUGCUUGCACCUUUCAAGUGAGUGGCGAACGGGUGAGUAACACGUGGACAACCUGCCUCAAGGCUGGGGAUAACAUUUGGAAACAGAUGCUAAUACCGAAUAAAACUUAGUGUCGCAUGACAAAAAGUUAAAAGGCGCUUCGGCGUCACCUAGAGAUGGAUCCGCGGUGCAUUAGUUAGUUGGUGGGGUAAAGGCCUACCAAGACAAUGAUGCAUAGCCGAGUUGAGAGACUGAUCGGCCACAUUGGGACUGAGACACGGCCCAAACUCCUACGGGAGGCUGCAGUAGGGAAUCUUCCACAAUGGGCGAAAGCCUGAUGGAGCAACGCCGCGUGUGUGAUGAAGGCUUUCGGGUCGUAAAGCACUGUUGUAUGGGAAGAACAGCUAGAAUAGGAAAUGAUUUUAGUUGACGGUACCAUACCAGAAAGGGACGGCUAAAUACGUGCCAGCAGCCGCGGUAAUACGUAUGUCCCGAGCGUUAUCCGGAUUUAUUGGGCGUAAAGCGAGCGCAGACGGUUUAUUAAGUCUGAUGUGAAAGCCCGGAGCUCAACUCCGGAAUGGCAUUGGAAACUGGUUAACUUGAGUGCAGUAGAGGUAAGUGGAACUCCAUGUGUAGCGGUGGAAUGCGUAGAUAUAUGGAAGAACACCAGUGGCGAAGGCGGCUUACUGGACUGCAACUGACGUUGAGGCUCGAAAGUGUGGGUAGCAAACAGGAUUAGAUACCCUGGUAGUCCACACCGUAAACGAUGAACACUAGGUGUUAGGAGGUUUCCGCCUCUUAGUGCCGAAGCUAACGCAUUAAGUGUUCCGCCUGGGGAGUACGACCGCAAGGUUGAACUCCAAAGGAAUUGACGGGGACCCGCACAAGCGGUGGAGCAUGUGGUUUAAUUCGAAGCAACGCGAAGAACCUUACCAGGUCUUGACAUCCUUUGAAGCUUUUAGAGAUAGAAGUGUUCUCUUCGGAGACAAAGUGACAGGUGGUGCAUGGUCGUCGUCAGCUCGUGUCGUGAGAUGUUGGGUUAAGUCCCGCAACGAGCGCAACCCUUAUUGUUAGUUGCCAGCAUUCAGAUGGGCACUCUAGCGAGACUGCCGGUGACAAACCGGAGGAAGGCGGGGACGACGUCAGAUCAUCAUGCCCCUUAUGACCUGGGCUACACACGUGCUACAAUGGCGUAUACAACGAGUUGCCAACCCGCGAGGGUGAGCUAAUCUCUUAAAGUACGUCUCAGUUCGGAUUGUAGUCUGCAACUCGACUACAUGAAGUCGGAAUCGCUAGCAAUCGCGGAUCAGCACGCCGCGGUGAAUACGUUCCCGGGUCUUGUACACACCGCCCGUCACACCAUGGGAGUUUGUAAUGCCCAAAGCCGGUGGCCUAACCUUUUAGGAAGGAGCCGUCUAAGGCAGGACAGAUGACUGGGGUG
rnacentral:rRNA from 1 species